UAGGUCCUACGGGGCGCAGCAGUGGGGGAUACUGGACAAUGGGGGGAACCCUGAUCCAGCGACGCCGCGUGAGUGAAGAAGUAUUUCGGUAUGUAAAGCUCUGUCAGCAGGGAAGAAAGCAAUGACGGUACCUGACCAAGAAGCCCCGGCUAACUACGUGCCAGCAGCCGCGGUAAUACGUAGGGGGCACGCGUUAUCCGGAAUUACUGGGUGUAAAGGGAGCGUAGACGGCUGUGCAAGUCUGGAGUGAAAGGCGGGGGCCCAACCACCGGACUGCUCUGGAAAC
rnacentral:rRNA from 1 species